rnacentral:rRNA from 1 species
AAAGCGUGCGCAGGCGGUUAUGUAAGACAGAUGUGAAAUCCCCGGGCUCAACCUGGGAACUGCAUUUGUGACUGCAUGGCUAGAGUACGGUAGAGGGGGAUGGAAUUCCGCGUGUAGCAGUGAAAUGCGUAGAUAUGCGGAGGAACACCGAUGGCGAAGGCAAUCCCCUGGGCCUGUACUGACGCUCAUGCACGAAAGCGUGGGGAGCAAACAGGAUUAGAUACCCGAGU